UGGGGAAUAUUGCACAAUGGGCGAAAGCCUGAUGCAGCGACGCCGCGUGAGGGAUGACGGCCUUCGGGUUGUAAACCUCUUUCAGUAGGGACGAAGCGCAAGUGACGAUACCUGCAGAAGAAGCACCGGCUAACUACGUGCCAGCAGCCGCGGUAAUACGUAGGGUGCGAGCGUUGUCCGGAAUUACUGGGCGUAAAGUGCUCGUAGGCGGUUUGUCACGUCGUCUGUGAAAUCCUAGGGCUUAACCCUGGACGUGCAGGCGAUACGGGCUGACUUGAGUACUACAGGGGAGACUGGAAUUUCUGGUGUAGCGGUGGAAUGCACAGAUAUCAGGAAGAACACCGAUGGCGAAGGCAGGUCUCUGGGUAGUAACUGACGCUGAGGAGCGAAAGCAUGGGUAGCGAACAGG
rnacentral:rRNA from 1 species